rnacentral:rRNA from 1 species
UACGUAGGGUGCAAGCGUUAAUCGGAAUUACUGGGCGUAAAGCGUGCGCAGGCGGUUUUAUAAGUCAGCUGUGAAAUCCCCGGGCUCAACCUGGGAAUGGCAGUUGAGACUGUAAGGCUGGAGUGUGUCAGAGGGGGGUGGAAUUCCACGUGUAGCAGUGAAAUGCGUAGAGAUGUGGAGGAAUACCGAUGGCGAAGGCAGCCCCCUGGGAUAACACUGACGCUCAUGCACGAAAGCGUGGGGAGCAAACAGG